rnacentral:rRNA from 1 species
ACAGAUAAGGAGCUUGCUCCUUUGACGUUAGCGGCGGACGGGUGAGUAACACGUGGGUAACCUACCUAUAAGACUGGAAUAACUCCGGGAAACCGGGGCUAAUGCCGGAUAACAUUUAGAACCGCAUGGUUCUAAAGUGAAAGAUGGUUUUGCUAUCACUUAUAGAUGGACCCGCGCCGUAUUAGCUAGUUGGUAAGGUAAUGGCUUACCAAGGCAACGAUACGUAGCCGACCUGAGAGGGUGAUCGGCCACACUGGAACUGAGACACGGUCCAGACUCCUACGGGAGGC